UACGUAGGGGGCAAGCGUUGCCCGGAAUCAUUGGGCGUAAAGAGCGUGUAGGCGGCCCGAUAAGUCCGCUGUGAAAGUCCAGGGCUCAACCCUGGAAUGCCGGUGGAUACUGUCGGGCUCGAAUCCGGAAGAGGUGAGUGGAAUUCCUGGUGUAGCGGUGAAAUGCGCAGAUAUCAGGAGGAACACCAAUGGCGAAGGCAGCUCACUGGGACGGUAUUGACGCUGAGGUGCGAAAGCGUGGGGAGCAAACAGG
rnacentral:rRNA from 1 species